rnacentral:rRNA from 1 species
AUAACCCCGGGAAACUGGGGAUAAUACCGGAUAAAUCACAGGUACUGGAAGGUCUUGUGGUUGAAACUUCCGGGGCCUUUGGAUGGGUCUGCGGCGGAUUAGGUUGUUGCCGGUGUAACGUACCGUCAAGCCUGUAAUCCGUACGGGUUGUGGGAGCAAGAGCCCGGAGAUGGAUUCUGAGACACGAAUCCAGGCCCUACGGGGCGCAGCAGGCGCGAAAACUCUACAAUGCAGGCAACUGCGAUAGGGGAACAUCGAGUGAUACUCAUAUUGGGUGUCUGUCCCGCCGUCUAAAAAACGGUGGUUAGCAAGGGCCGGGCAAGACCGGUGCCAGCCGCCGCGGUAAUACCGGCGGCUCGAGUGGUGGCCGAUAUUAUUGAGUCUAAAGGGUCCGUAGCCGGCUUUGCAAGUCUUUUGGGAAAUCCAGCGGCUUAACCGUUGGUCGUCCGGGAGAUACUACAUUGCUUGGGACUGGGAGAGGUAGGAGGUACUCAGGGGGUAGGAGUGAAAUCCUGUAAUCCUUUGGGGACCACCGGUGGCGAAGGCGUCCUACCAGAACAGGUCCGACGGUGAGGGACGAAAGCUAGGGGCACGAACCGGAUUAGAUACCCGGGUAGUCCUAGCCGUAAACGAUGCUCGCUAGGUGUCACAACAAUCGUGAAUUGUUGUGGUGCCGUAGGGAAACCGUGAAGCGAGCCACUUGGGAAGUACGAC